rnacentral:lncRNA from 10 species
GCCCAACAAUUCCAGUUCUAGAACUGAUCCUACAAAUGCAAAAUGAUGGGACAGAAUACAUUUCAGCUCCAAAACCAGCAUUGUCUUUAAUGGGGACUCCUAGAGGCAUUCCCACCAAGUUAGGAACAAGACAGCACGCCCACUGUUACCAGCGUAAAUCAACAAUGUACCGGAGGUGCUAACCCACACAAUAAGGCAACAUCUCCAGCAUGAAGCCCACUGGCCUCAUGUCUGUACUUCUGGAGUCCAGGUGAGCAAAGGUCACCUGCCCACUGGACUUGGCCCACAUGGACUACACCUGAGCCACCAAUCCUCUUGGAGGCCUUCUUGCCUCUAUUUGCUGCAUUCCUUCUUCUCCCCUUUGGACUGCGAGCUCCUCAAGGGAACAGCCUAUAGCUUCCUAUUCAUCUCCCACUCACCCGACCUGCCACACUGGCCAGCCCACUGGAUGGGAGGUAACAGUGUGCUGGACAUUCUGAGGGCUGCAGGGGCCUCCUGUGGACCCUGCUCUCUUGCAGGUGACCCAUCAGUGCGCUGUACUUCUACAAAUUGUUGGAAUGGAGACUUUUUUUUUUUUCUAAGUUAUUUGAGUCAAAACGAUCUUGACGGGAAGCUGUUAGAGGUCUCAUGG